rnacentral:sRNA from 1 species
CUAAAGGCGCUUUUUUGCUAUCUGCGAUACUCAAAGACAGGUUCGAGUUGAGCGCAGCGAAACAACGGAGCCGCUCGCGGCGACGGCCCGUAGGGCGAGCGAAGCGAGUCAUCCUGCACGACCCACCA